CCCGCCCGUUGCAGCACGGUCCCGUCAGCUGCCCGGCGCUUCCUUCCCGCCGCGGAGGGAGCGGCCUCGCGCUCCGCCGCCUCGUGCCUUUGGCGCCCAAACGGCCGCGCUGCGGCGCGAGGCGAUCGCCUCAGCUGUGGGCGCGCGCCGCGGCCGUUAGGUUGGUGCCGCGGUGCCCGGGCGUGAGUGCGCGGGGAGCGGAGGCCGCGGUCCGGCGGAGGCGGUUCUCUCCGGUGGUUCUCUCCCGCGGUUCUCUCCCGCGGCCCGGAGUAGAAGCGGACGCGCAACACGGCAGAACGAGCCUGGGGCCGAGCCGGCCCCUCUCACCGCGCUGGGAGCGCUCUGCCUGGGUGCUUUCUUUGCAGAUAAAAACCACCAUACAUGUGAGAGAGAAUCUAUCGUAAUGGAGAGCUGAGAAGAAGGCUGUGGGCUUCAUCAGGUCACCUGAUGAGCUCAUGAAAAUGCAACCUCUUCUCAGGAUGUGUCCUUACAUCGUAGCAUGGGCUACUAAUUAGGGAACAGAAGAAUCUGUCUUGCAGCCUAGUGAGAGGAAAAUAAAAAUGUUUCCACCUGUUAUAGAGAAGAAUAUCUGGCUUCCAAAUCAGUCCAUCAGGAAAACGGACGUUCUUCACUCCAGGGUAUUCAGAC